rnacentral:rRNA from 1 species
UCCUGGCUCAGAUUGAACGCUGGCGGCAGGCCUAACACAUGCAAGUCGGACGGUAGCACAGAGGAGCUUGCUCCUUGGGUGACGAGUGGCGGACGGGUGAGUAAUGUCUGGGGAUCUGCCCGAUAGAGGGGGAUAACCACUGGAAACGGUGGCUAAUACCGCAUAACGUCGCAAGACCAAAGAGGGGGACCUUCGGGCCUCUCACUAUCGGAUGAACCCAGAUGGGAUUAGCUAGUAGGCGGGGUAAUGGCCCACCUAGGCGACGAUCCCUAGCUGGUCUGAGAGGAUGACCAGCCACACUGGAACUGAGACACGGUCCAGACUCCUACGGGAGGCAGCAGUGGGGAAUAUUGCACAAUGGGCGCAAGCCUGAUGCAGCCAUGCCGCGUGUAUGAAGAAGGCCUUCGGGUUGUAAAGUACUUUCAGCGGGGAGGAAGGCGAUGGGGUUAAUAACCCUGUCGAUUGACGUUACCCGCAGAAGAAGCACCGGCUAACUCCGUG